GACGAACGCUGGCGGCGUGCUUAACACAUGCAAGUCGAACGUGAUUUUUGUGGAAAUUCUUUCGGGAAUGGACAUGAAAUGAAAGUGGCGAACGGGUGAGUAACACGUGAGCAACCUACCUUACACAGGGGGAUAGCCGUUGGAAACGACGAUUAAUACCGCAUGAGACCACAGAAUCGCAUGAUAUAGGGGUCAAAGAUUUAUCGGUGUAAGAAGGGCUCGCGUCUGAUUAGCUAGUUGGAAGGGUAAAGGCCUACCAAGGCGACGAUCAGUAGCCGGUCUGAGAGGAUGAACGGCCACAUUGGAACUGAGACACGGUCCAAACUCCUACGGGAAGCAGCAGUGGGGAAUAUUGCACAAUGGGGGGAACCCUGAUGCAGCGACGCCGCGUGAGCGAAGAAGGUUUUCGAAUCGUAAAGCUCUGUCCUAUGAGAAGAUAAUGACGGUAUCAUAGGAGGAAGCCCCGGCUAAAUACGUG
rnacentral:rRNA from 1 species